rnacentral:rRNA from 1 species
AGAGGGUGCAAGCGUUAAUCGGAAUUACUGGGCGUAAAGCGUGCGUAGGUGGUUAGGUCAGUCGAAUGUGAAAGCCCUGGGCUCAACCUGGGAAUUGCAUCCGAUACUGCCUGGCUAGAGUAGUGGAGAGGGAAGUGGAAUUUCCGGUGUAGCGGUGAAAUGCGUAGAUAUCGGAAGGAACACCAGUGGCGAAGGCGACUUCCUGGAAACAUACUGACACUGAGGCACGAAAGCGUGGGGGAGCAAACAGGAUUAGAUACCCUGGUAGUCCACGCCGUAAACGAUGAGAACUAGAUGUUGGGGAGCUUGACUUCUCAGUAUCGCAGCUAACGCAUUAAGUUCUCCCGCCUGGUGAGUACGGUCGCAAGAUU